UGGGGGAUAUUGCACAAUGGGCGAAAGCCUGAUGCAGCGACGCCGCGUGGGGGAUGAAGGCUUUCGGGUUGUAAACCUCUUUCGCUAUCGAACAAGGCCCGCUUAAGGUGGGUUGAGGGCAGGUGGAGAAGAAGCGCCGGCUAACUACGUGCCAGCAGCCGCGGUAAUACGUAGGGCGCGAGCGUUGUCCGGAAUUAUUGGGCGUAAAGGGCUUGUAGGCGGCUUGUUGCGCCUGCUGUGAAAACGCGGGGCUUAACUUCGCGCGUGCAGUGGGUACGGGCAGGCUUGAGUGUGGUAGGGGUGACUGGAAUUCCAGGUGUAGCGGUGGAAUGCGCAGAUAUCUGGAGGAACACCGAUGGCGAAGGCAGGUCACUGGGCCAUUACUGACGCUGAGGAGCGAAAGCAUGGGUAGCGAACAGG
rnacentral:rRNA from 1 species